AUCAGAAGUGCGAAUGCUGACGUGAGUAACGACAAUGCGAGUGAAAAACUCGCACGCUGAAAGACCAAGGGUUCCAGUCCAACGUUAAUCGGGGCUGGGUGAGUCGACCCCUAAGGCGAGGCCGAGAGGCGUAGUCGAUGGGAAAUUGGUUAAUAUUCCAAUACUUCUGUGUAAUGCGAUGAGAGGACGGAGAAGGUUAAGUCAGCCUGGCGUUGGUUGUCCAGGUGAAAGGCAGUAGGCAUGCAUCUUAGGCAAAUCCGGGGUGCUCUAUGCUGAGAGCUGAUAGCAAGCUGUACUUGUACAGUGAAGUGGCUGAUACCAUACUUCCAAGAAAAGUCUCUAAGCUUCAGUUACACAGGAAUCGUACCCUAAACCGACACAGGUGGCC
rnacentral:rRNA from 1 species